CCUACGGGUGGCAGCAGUGAGGAAUAUUGGUCAAUGGGCGAGAUCCUGAACCAGCCAAGCCGCGUGAGGGAAGACGGCACUGUGUGUUGUAAACCUCUUUUGUCAGGGAACAAAGCCCGGGACUUGUCCCCGGCUGCGUGUAUCCGAAGAAAAAGCAUCGGCUAACUCCGUGCCAGCAGCCGCGGUAAUACGGAGGAUGCGAGCGUUAUCCGGAUUUAUUGGGUUUAAAGGGUGCGUAGGCGGGCCGGUAAGUCAGCGGUGAAAUGCCCCGGCUCAACGGGGUGGAGAGCCAUUGAUACUGGCGGGCUGGAAUUGGAGAGAGGUACGAGGAAUGUGCGGUGUAGCGGUGAAAUGCAUAGAUAUCGCACAGAACACCGAUUGCGAAGGCAUCGCACGAACUCCACACUGACGCUGAGGCACGAAAGCGUGGGUAUCAAACAGGAUUAGAUACCCGUGUAGUC
rnacentral:rRNA from 1 species